UACGUAGGGGGCAAGCGUUAUCCGGAUUUACUGGGUGUAAAGGGAGCGUAGGUGGCAUGGUAAGCCAGAAGUGAAAACCCGGGGCUCAACCCCGCGGAUUGCUUUUGGAACUAUCAGGCUGGAGUGCUGGAGGGGUAAGCGGAAUUCCUAGAGUAGCGGUGAAAUGCGUAGAUAUUAGGAGGAACACCGGUGGCGAAGGCGGCUUACUGGACAGAAACUGACACUGAGGCUCGAAAGCGUGGGGAGCAAACAGG
rnacentral:rRNA from 1 species